GUUAUCCGGAAUUAUUGGGCGUAAAGAGCUCGUAGGCGGUUUGUCGCGUCUGCUGUGAAAACUGGAGGCUCAACCUCCAGCCUGCAGUGGGUACGGGCAGACUAGAGUGCGGUAGGGGAGAUUGGAAUUCCUGGUGUAGCGGUGGAAUGCGCAGAUAUCAGGAGGAACACCGAUGGCGAAGGCAGAUCUCUGGGCCGUAACUGACGCUGAGGAGCGAAAGCAUGGGGAGCGAACAGGAUUAGAUACCCUGGUAGUCCAUGCCGUAAACGUUGGGAACUAGAUGUAGGGGCCAUUCCACGGCUUCUGUGUCGCAGCUAACGCAUUAAAGUUCCCCGCCUGGGGAGUACGGCCGCAAGGCUAAAACUCAAAGGAAUUGACGGGGGCCCGCACAAGCGGCGGAGCAUGCGGAGUAAUUCGAUGCAACGCGAAGAACCUUACCAAGGCUUGACAUAUACGAGAACGGGCUAGAAAUAGUCAACUCUUUGGACACUCGUAAACAGGUGGUGCAUGGUUGUCGUCAGCUCGUGUCGUGAGAUGUUGGGUUAAGUCCCGCAACGAGCGCAACCCUCGUUCUUUGUUGCCAGCACGUCAUGGUGGGAACUCAAAGGAGACUGCCGGGGUCAACUCGGAGGAAGGUGGGGAUGACGUCAAAUCAUCAUGCCCCUUAUGUCUUGGGCUUCACGCAUGCUACAAUGGCCGGUACAAAGGGCUGCAAUACCGUAAGGUGGAGCGAAUCCCAAAAAGCCGGUCUCAGUUCGGAUUGAGGUCUGCAACUCGACCUCAUGAAGUCGGAGUCGCUAGUAACCGCAGA
rnacentral:rRNA from 1 species